rnacentral:tRNA from 1 species
AAAAAGGUAAGCUAAAUUAAGCUAAUGGGUUCAUACCCCUUCUAUGGAGAAUAGACCUCCCCUUUUUA